UUGGAGGGCAAGUCUGGUGCCAGCAGCCGCGGUAAUUCCAGCUCCAAUAGCGUAUAUUAAAGUUGUUGCAGUUAAAAAGCUCGUAGUUGAACUUCGGGGUCUACCCAUUGGUCAGGCUUAAUUGUCUGCACUGGUGAGAUGGAUCUCUACCUUCUGAGGAACUUUCAUGCCAUUUAUUUGGUGUGGUUGGAAAUCAGGACUGUUACUUUGAAAAAAUUAGAGUGUUUAAAGCAGACUAUCGUCUGAAUACAUUAGCAUGGAAUAAUGAAAUAGGACGGACUGAUUCUAUUUCGUUGGUUUCUAGGAUCACCGUAAUGAUUAAUAGGGAUUGUUGGGGGCAUUAGUAUUCAAUUGUCAGAGGUGAAAUUCUUGGAUUUAUUGAAGACUAACUACUGCGAAAGCAUUUGCCAAGGAUGUUUUCAUUAAUCAAGAACGAAAGUUAGGGGAUCGAAGACGAUCAGAUACCGUCGUAGUCUUAACCAUAAACUAUGCCGACUAGGGAUCGGACGAAGUUAAUUUUAUAAUGACGCGCUCGGCACCUUACGGGAAACCAAAGUGUUUGGGUUC
rnacentral:rRNA from 1 species